GUUGCCAUGGCUUAAGGGUUAAAGCAUAUUACUGUUAAUAAUGUUAUACAAGUUCGAAUCUUGUUGGUGACU
rnacentral:tRNA from 1 species